GACGAACGCUGGCGGCGUGCUUAACACAUGCAAGUCGAACGGAAAGGCCCUGCUUUUGUGGGGUGCUCGAGUGGCGAACGGGUGAGUAACACGUGAGUAACCUGCCCUUGACUUUGGGAUAACUUCAGGAAACUGGGGCUAAUACCGGAUAGGAGCUCCUGCUGCAUGGUGGGGGUUGGAAAGUUUCGGCGGUUGGGGAUGGACUCGCGGCUUAUCAGCUUGUUGGUGGGGUAGUGGCUUACCAAGGCUUUGACGGGUAGCCGGCCUGAGAGGGUGACCGGCUACAUUGGGACUGAGAUACGGCCCAGCCUCCUACGGGAGGCAGCAGUGGGGAAUAUUGCACAAUGGGCGGAAGCCUGAUGCAGCAACGCCGCGUGCGGGAUGACGGCCUUCGGGUUGUAAACCGCUUUCGCCUGUGACGAAGCGUGAGUGACGGUAAUGGGUAAAGAAGCACCGGCUAACUACGUG
rnacentral:rRNA from 1 species